AGGGCCAGCAAUUUGAUUUCUCACGAUCCCGGUUUCACAGGUUACUCAACCAGCCAUGAAGGAAAGAGAAGUGCCGCUCUGACGUGCGGUGACACACAAGAAGAGCAGGCCUGACAUAACCCUGCAGCUCAAUGGGGACCGUUGUUUCCCUGGCCGACGCUCAGCAAUGCACAGCCAGCCUCUCGCUGCUGCCUCCUUUGUUGUGGAUUGUGUUUCGUGCUGUUACUCCAGGAGCUGUGGUGGUACCCGGCCACCCACCAAAGGCGCAGUCUCCAUGAUCUCCUGAGACCGAUGGCUGCCAAAGAUGACUUUUGCUUGACUACAUCAAGGACUCUGCAGGGAAGGGAUUUUCUCAGGUCAGGUGAGGACAUAUAUUUACUCAGUGUGUGUGUGUGCGUGCUUGCGUGUGCGUCCCUGUGUUUAGUGAACUGAGAAGGAGAGGACAAAGUUUGCCUGCCUUCCUGUGCAAUGACGAUGUCGACCUUUCCCUGCAGCUUUGGGCACCUAAGCCUGAGACCUCUUGGAAGCUGCAGGACGGCAGUGGGACGGGCUAGACAGCAUCAAGCCAUGACAGGGCUGUGCAGGGAAGUGGGGAAAUAAGGAUGCUCGCAGCCUUGCCACAUUUAGGACAGCCUGCAGGACCUCUGCAGGGGUGCACAGCCAGUUGCUGGACUGGGAAGAGCUGUUCAAGGAGGGAGGAGAGUAGGGGGCAUUGCCCACCCAGCUGACCGGCUGCCUGGUGAAAGGAUGUUACAGCCGGACAGAGGUGGGAAAUCAUUCCUUUGGGAGGACAAGCUGGUAUCUCAGAGGGGUUUCUUGGAGGCGAAUGCUUCCUCGUGUAAUCUGCCAGCGCCCACCUGGUGCUCAGGGCUGCAACGCAAAGGCAAAUCUGACCCUAAGGGAGUGGGAUUUUCUGACCCAUUGUAAUUUUGCUGCAAGUAGUAAUGCAGUUGCUGGAGCAAAUAUGCCACUAGGCCAUUCAUGUUCAUCUGAGGAUGACAGAUGAGCAAACACUAGCUGAAGGGUUUCUACACACUACAAAGACUACAGAUGGGAUACCAGAAUGCUCUCUCCUCUAUAUCCGCCAAAAUAAAAAAAUCCCCUCUGCAGCUCAGAUACAAUUUUAAAAUUGGGAUCAAGGUAAGGCUAGGUCCUUUGUUGAGUAUCAUAAUAUUUAUAAUUAUUCAUUACUGUCAAAAAACCCAGUAGAAACAUUAUGAAGGAGAAAAAUACUUGUUCUAGACCUAUUACAAGUGGAAACGAGUGGAAAGCAGGGGUCGGACCCGGCUGGUUUCUAGCCCCUUGGUGAGCUGCAAUUGUUGGCUACAAAUGUCCAACUCGGGAUCCUUAAAAUUCUGGUUUAUUAGGUGGAUUGAAACACUGUAAUCAUAAACCUUGGGGCUGGUCCCCACACACACACACAUGCACACACAUACACACACACAGUAGCAGGCUACAGAGUCAGGUAUACCUAUCCUACAAGCGCUGGAGUCUGCCGUCAAGGCUUCUUUCAGCGUGGUGUUAUCUUCCAGAAGGGGGUCGCUGGCUGGUCCUUCUGGCUGGACAGGUCUGGUCAAGUUGGAGAUCAAGAGGGCGCCCCUGAGGGUCACUUUUCACUGCCUUUUAUCUGUCCCUGGCAGACUUUGGUGACUCCCCAGUUUUCAGGUUUGCCCAAUCCAGGGGUCAUUGACCCUCGUGGGACUUCCCCCCCCCAGUGGCUACUGGACGGCAUCUGUCAGCCCCAGGGGUCGUCCGCAUGUACGUGCAGGUUUGGGAGUCCAUUGAUGAAUUUUGAAUAGGGCUCUGGGAGCGGUUGAUCUGGAGAUAUUCAGCCCAAAAGUUGGUCCCCUGCGUUGAUUAACUCAGGCCAGGGCUUCUAGCCCUUGAUCAGUGACGUUUAGAGAUUUCCUGGUUGUUACGUUGUCUUCUAUUGAGUUCUUCCGUUGGCUGAUCUGCAGCUUCCAGGUGUUAAUUGCUGCCUGCUUCCAUGUUACACAUUCAAUCACGUUACACAUUCGAUCACUGAUUCACUCGCUCUUUCAGGGGCCAGCCUGAUACAGGGAACUGGCAGUUUGAUUCCUGCCCUUGUUAACAUUGUUACAAUGUAUAACUUACUAAAACACAUUUAGUUGAAAGUUGAAAGGUGAGGAGUAAAAAAUAUAAGCUACAAAUGCCAUGGUACACAAAUAGAUAAAAAUACCAAAAUACAAGGGGAGAUACAAAAUGCACGCAUACAAAUUUUAAAACACAAUUCCUUAUCUUAAAGUGAAAGAGAGAGGAAGGAAGAAAAGGUAGAAAAAGAGAAACAUAUCCAAAGAGAGGAGAGCAACUGCAGGCAAGAGGAAAAGGGGCUUUCUGCUACACAACUUCUUCCUGUAGGCCGCAAGUGUUGUCCUUCAGCAUCGUUUAUUAAAGACAGGUAUAUUUAGGAGCCUGCAGACAAUUUCAGCUCAAGUUCUGAGCCCUUCGCAUUGCAAAAAAUAACCCCUUUGGGACAUAAGGCAGAAGAAAACCAGUGAAACAUUUUCUGAAGGCGCUCUGGAAGAAUAGCUCAGGGGGACAUGAAAUAUUCUCAUUCAUCCCAAUGGCAUGUUAACUCAGAAGUAGAACAACAGGAACAAGGAGGAAUUGGAUCAAUGUAAGACCUUGAGUCCUUCAGAAAGAAACACUGAUGGACACCAGCACUGACGACUAGACUCUCCGAUGCCAUGGUCCGUGUCAGACGUGCAUUCAGGACGGUGUAUUCCCCUAUUAUUAGAUAACAAUAGAAACGUCAGUGUUGCUAGCUACUUAAGUGAGGAGCAAAAGUACGAAGCAGCACAAAAUUUGUGCGUGGCUCCUUCCUCGGGCAUGAGAGCUGGGCAGCUGCUGGGCUGCGCUCGGGCACUGGAAGGACGUAUGGCUGCUCUUGUACCGUGGGUGCUCGACUUCUGCCGGGAGCUAAACUGAAGGUGACCAACAUAGCCUCCUUGCCUGGAAGGGGCGAAAUAGAGAGCGCUAGCAAACAGAAACGUUCACAUUUAAAAAAAAAAAAGGCUGGAAACCAAGUCAUCCAUAUGUUCAGCUUUACUAAAAUAGGAUGGUAUUACCCAAAGAAGGGCACUGCGAUGCUCAAAAUCUCACCUAAUUCUAUCCCAAGCACACAGUUGGUCCAAUAAAAUCUAUCACAUGCAAAAAUGUUUUUGCCUCUGACGAAUGUUAGGAUGUUUAAAAACAUGACUUUUAAGUUAGCAGCAAGCUUUUAAAAUUAUGCCAGACCAACCCUUCAGGAGAGCUGUGAGUGAGUAAACACAGAGCCCUUUCUGAACAGAUGAAUCCCACCCCCCGAGUGGAAAUGUGCAGACUGACGAGCAGAAAGCUCUCCUCGGUGCCAGAUUCUUCUUCAGGAACAGGGAGGCUUCUGUUCUCCGAGCUUUGUUUGCAAUCAGAUACAUUUUCCUUGUCAGGUUAGAUGUUCAUGAUAUUGAUAAAAAUAUUGUGUAGCAUAUUUUCGGGUGAUAAAUCCUUAAUAAAUAAAGAUCAGAAACAUCCCACUCUGAAGCUCGGGUAGCGGUUGAAUCGCUGGUUUGGUUAAUGUUGACAUACAAGACAGCUGGAGAAACAGCUGGAGUACUGUCUGAGCACCAGCAAAGCCCACCAAACUGGAUCACGCUGCUGUUUUCACUGACAUCCCGUGCAUAUUACUGUUACCGAAUAAAUACAAAACUGUUAA